rnacentral:lncRNA from 1 species
AUUUAGGCGAAAGCGCGAGGAGGGGGGGAGCGCGGGGCAGGAGGAGUAUCUCGGCCAAGAAAAUUAUGCAUGCGUUAGGGAAGCUCUGAGAGAAUGGCUGUGGAAGCUCUCCACUGCGGUUUGAACCCACGGGGUAUUGAUCACCCUGCCUGUGCCGAAGGUAUUAAACUGCAAAUUGAAGGUGAAGGCAUUGAAUCUCAAUCCAUUAAAAACAAAAACUUCCAGAAGGUGCUUGACCAAAAAGGAACCCCCAAGCGACUGCAGGCAGAAGCCGAGACAGCUAAGGUAGGUCGUAAUCCAGUCAGUUAAGGAGUCUGAGGCUGCAACUUUGAUCUUGCGUGGUCCAGCCCCAGAGAAGAACUGAUGGUGCUUUCACUGAUUAUCAUAGUUAUCUUCAGUUAAAGGAACACUGCUCCUGAUUGCAUGGAAUCAGAAAUGAAAACAUUGACUGCAUCCCCUUUUGAGGAAAAUUGAAACACAUUUGUGGUCAGUCUCAUAGCAUGAGACUCUUGGGAAUGGUAUAGAAUGAUCUACAGAGUGCCUUGGACUUCAUGCUGAAUGUUUUGUUUGCCCGGCCUCGAUUUAAUGUUUUAUGAUUUGGGGCAAGUCAUGUGACCUUCCAAGUCUCAGCUUCUUCACCUGUAAGAGUGGAUAUCAUAUAAACUACCUCCCCCACCCGAUUGAACAGAUGCAAUAAUACAGUGUGUGUGGAAGUGUUUCGCCAAAGCCCCAGUUGUCUGCAUGAGUGUGAGGAGCUUUUGCGGACAAACGCAAUGAAUAGCAACUGACAUUUUAUUAAAUACAUACAUGUAUUCCAGGUACCGUUUGAAGGACUCUUGAUAUACUGGCUUAUUGUCUCUGUAACAGUUCUGUGAGGUAGAGAGUAAUAAACAGGACCCUAAUUAAUGACAGGUAUAAUUGUUUUAUUUUGUUGCAGGCUACUUUGUUCUUUUAGUUUUUAGCCUAGAUGUAGCCAUAAAACAUGGAGCUAGAGGGGAGAUGAUUCUUUAGCAAGGAAAAUGUCUUGUAAAGAUUUUCCACAAUGAAAUUGGCAUUGUAUGGGGUUUUGUCUGAAAUCGGUGAAGAUACUCUUGUUGGAGGGGCAUAUGAGGUUGCUCCUUGGAAACAGAGACGUAAUCUUUAUGUGGCACUUGGUUUCUCCCCUGUGCGUUUCCUGCAAAGGAAUUGCCCGUCACAUGUUUGUGGAGGGCAUGAAUGUAUGCAUACUUUGGAAAGCAAACUUCGCAGCCACCCAAGAAACAAAACAUUACGUGGAAAGGGCACCUGGCUGCAAUACAGUAAUUACUUCCCAGUCCUGAAAACAUGCCUUCCAAAAUCACAUGUGAACUUUUCUACUUUAUCUAUGGUUUUGAGUAAUUACUAUAGUUGCUUCCCUUCGUGAGUGUAGAUAAUUAAAAACUGAUGACAUUAAAACUGUGUGUGUGUGGGCGUGUUGUAGGGAGUGGGGAAUGAUUAAUGAGGAAGGUAUUGUCCAUAUCUUGUGCUACACAUUUUAGUUGAGAGAAGUUGCACCUCAUAGGAAAUUAGUUGAUCGUGGAUGUUUGGUUUGUGAGAAGAGUUGGGAAUAAGUGAGCCCUAUUGUGACAUCUGUCUGAUCAGCCAGUGAUGCCACACAGGCGUAUUGAAAGAGUGAAGAAAAGAAAUGUUUGAAGGGUCUUCUUUAACCAGGAAGAUAAAUGCUAUGUCCGAGUAAGCUCUUUUCGAAGAGAUGCUUAAAAUAUUAAAAAUUAGAGUAGGGAAAAAUUAACACCUCCCUGAUUUUAAUUCCACUUUAAACAGAUCCAGAUUCUCUUAUUUGCAGAACAGAUGGGUAACGUAAGAAGUUUAAUUCAAAUCUAAUAUGAUUUGAUUGCUGCUGAAUUAUUCGGAACGUGAUAUUGUUGUCAACCUUGAGUUUUCAUGUCAGCAGCACUUGCCUGUGCCUCUAGAUCACUUCACGUUUGCUCUGCUGCACACCUACUUCACUGAGAAUGUAGUAAUCCACAAUGAAUCUCUCCUUGGGAAUAGACUAAUUGGAAACCAGAUUUCUUUGCAUUUAUCCAGAUCAUCUACAGUGAAAUCCCAAACAAUUGGAGUGGAGAGGGGAUUCUGAGUGUCUCCACAUGGACCUUAUGAAUCAGAGUGAACAGACUAGAAGCUUUUAGUUGCACUCAAGGUAUUUAUUUUUUCAUGGAAGAUUUGAUGACAACCAUGAUUGCUGGGAGGACAAGAUGAAAAUGAGUACCACAGAGUGAUUACCUGCAGUGUCACUUACCCUGGAGAUUUUGUACCACGGACAGUGUGAAUGCAUUCUGUGCAUGUACAGACACAUGUAAAUGUGCCCUUCUGUUGCAUUUAGAGGGUUAUUGGAGUUGUGAGUCAUCUUUUUUCCUGGGGUAAAUAAUUGAAUCUCUGGUAACUUGACCUACCCUCGACUCACCUAAAAACAAAAACAAAAACAAAAAACCUCUGGCUAGAAAUGCAUGCUUUUAAAGCCACUCUGUAAUGUAAAUUGGUGCAGAUUUUCUGGAGGACAGUCUGAUAGUAGUUGUCAAAAUUUGUUAAUGUAUAUAAUUUUUGAGCCAGUACUUCCCUCUCAAGGAACUUGUCCUAAGGAAAUUAUCAUGCAGGAGUGCAAAGACAGCUGCAGGAGAAUGGUCCCUCUGGUGAUCUUUAUAAUAUGAAAGCAAUGCCCAUUCAUAGGACACUGGCUAAAGAAACCGCUUAUUCAUGGAAUGGAGUAGAACUCUCCCUUUAUAAGGGUGAGGGAGCAGAUGUGUAUUUUUCUUACUCUGUUCUAGCUAUUGUAACAAUAUCUUAAACUGAGCGGCUUAAAAAAAGUAGACACUUAUUUCUCACAGUUCUAGAGGCUGGGAAGUUCAAGAUCAAGGUGCCACCAGAUUGAGUACUUGAUGAGAGCCUGCUUCUUGGCUCAUAGACGGCUCACCAUCAUCUUACUGGGUUCUCACAUGGUAGAAAUGGACCAGGGAUCCCUCUGGAGUCCUUCACAAGGGCACUAAUCCCAUUCAUGGGGGCUCCACCCUCAUCCCAUAAGCCCUUCCCAAAGGCCGCUCUUCCUAAUAACUGUUGGGUUUUAGCAUAUGAAUUUUCGGGGAGUGGAGACAUUUAGCCUAUGGCAGGGUUUAUGUGGGAAAAUGAGUAUGGUGCUUCUUUUUAGAGUUGAGGGGGAGAUCGCCACCCAGUGUGUAUAGCAUGUUCCCCUUUUCAUAAAAAUGUCCUUUCUCUGUAAAAGGCAUCAUGGAAUCUGAAAGAGUCCACUCCACAGUUUGAGCAGCAGUUUAUAUCUGGAGCUGAAAUUUUAUGGGGAAAACUUUCUUCUGCACUUGAUUUUUUUUUUUUUUAAAGAUAUACAUUCUUUUUUUUUUUGGUCUUUUUAGGGCCACACCCAUGGCAUAUGGAGGUUCCCCGGCUAGCGGUCGAAUCAGAGCUGUAGCCGCCGGCCUACAUCAGAGCCACAGCAAUGCAAGAUCCAAGCCACAUCUGUGACCUACACCACAGCUCACAGCAAUUCCAGAUCCUUAACCCACUGAGCAAGGCCAGGGAUCUAACCCGCAACUCAUGGUUCCUAGUCAGAUUUGUUAACCACAGAGCCACCAUGGGAACUCCCUAAAGAUAAGCAUUCUUGAAGCAUAUUUAUUUUAAAGCCCUUUUCAGAUUGUCUCAUUAACUUAAGCAGUUCAGCUGUGACUUUUUCUGUUUGUUGAGUUGGCAUUCUGCCUUUGAUGGUGUUUUCUUUCCUCCAGAGGGUUCCAGUUUUGCUUGUUAUUUGCCAAGGGGGGGUAGUUACCUUGGGGACCAUGUGUGCCUUGGAAUGUGGAGGCCCUUCGAUGAGAUGCCUUUUUGAUCUUUGUGCUGCUGAAGGGAGCACUGAUAAGGUGCUUUUGUGUUUGUCUCUUCAUGAACUUUUGGGGAUGGAACAGCUUUGACCAGGUGUUUAAUUAUGUUUCAAUUUGAUGUUCUUUUUGUUGCUGACUGACUAGCAAAUCAAGCCCUCUCCAGAUGGGCUCCCCCCUCCACAGGCUUCAUACGGGAACCUGGUUCCAGCUCCCUUGCACACCUGUGAGCUCUGCCACUUUGGCUCUGGCCAUGUUGGGCUUUGAAGCCAGUUCCUGUUCCAAAUCUCCAGUGGGCAUAGGGAAAUUCAGGCGUCCUCAUUGCUGUGGCUUUCUGGCAUCUAGAUUCCUCCUCCUUCAUGUCAGGUUUGGUCUUCCAUAAAUUUACAUAAAAAUAUAUUUUAUAGCAUCUUGAAGUUUCUGGAGCCUGAGAAGGGAUUGUAUUGAGCUUAAUCUCCCAUCUUGACCCUGAAUUUUAUAUCCUUUUUUAAUUAAAAAAUAUCUCUCUCUUGGAGUUCCUUUUGUGGCUCAACAGGUAAGAAACUGACAUGGGUGGAUACGGGUUUGAUCCCUGGCCUUGCUCAGUGGGUUAAGGAUCUGGCAUUGCCAUGAGAUGUGGCGUAGGUUGUAGAUGUGGCUCGGAUCUGGCUGUGGCAUAGGCUGGCAGCUGCAGCUCUGAUUUGACCCCUCACCCGGGCACUUCUGUAUGCUGCAUGUGCAGCCAUAAAAACAAAAACAAAAAAACCUCUUAUCUCUACAUAUUCUGAGAAAAAUCAUCUUUAUCUUAAAUGUGAUUUGGGACCUUCGUCCCCAAUUACACAAAAAACUAGGACUCUAGUUCCAGAAAGAGGUUCUCCAUGCCACGAGUUGCCUUCCACUCUUAUAGACCAAAGAGACAUCACUAGAGAACCAAGCUUACUUUUAAGCCUUAUUACUGGGUAGCAAAGGCUAGUUAGAAAAGCUAGAUCUAAUUAAAAUGUGGAUUUGCAAAAGAUGUUUACCAAUGGGAGUCCUAAAUGCCAACAAGGACUUUGGAAUCCAGAGAGUACGCAUACAUAUCACAGCUGCAGUCCUAAGUUCAAAAGGCAAAAACUAUGUUGACUUAGCUUUACAGGUGAAUACCAGGCAAGGGAGAGUCAGUCUCACCCUUCAUCUCCUCAGGUCCAGGAGGUGUGAAGGUAAACAGCUUCUUUUGUUCCCUCCCCCACCCAGGGGCGUGUACAACCACCCCAGAGGAGAGCCAAGAUGAGGAUGCAUUUCCUUGAAGGCACAGCCCCUAUUUUCCAUCAUUAUUACCGCUCUAGUCAUGUGGGCUCAAGGCCAGCUCACGGUCCUGUAGACCAGGUGUGGUUCCACACAGCAUCUUUCCAGGAGGCAGCCCUGUGAGUGACUGAGAUUCUUCCCAUACUGACCUGAGGUUGACUAACUCUUUCUUCCCAGUGCAGUAAGGAUGGGAUUGCCAGAGAAAGUAGGUAGAGGAAGAAAUUUACCUAUGGUGUAUAAUGCAAGUAACAUUCAAAUGCCCAGCAGUAAGAAUGGAAGGAGCCCCUAGCAGUGAAGUCCUGGCUCUCUGAGCCAAGGGGUGGCCGCAAACAUCCUCAGGCACACUGGGCAGCAGUCUCCUUGAGUCACGAGUUGUGUUGUGGGAGCUGAGGUUGGAACAGUAGGCUGGGGCCAAGUCAUGUGGGGUUUGAGUGCUAGGAGCAUGGAUUUAUUUCCUAUCUGUACCAUCCAGUAUGGUAGCCACUAGCUGUGCAUGGCCCUAGACACAUAUGAAAA